UUGUACGAGUCACUAUUGGUUUGAUAACAAUAAUGGUAGUUGUUUUAGUAUGUCAAGGAUACAUAUGUACACUAAUUGAAAAUUAGUUGAUACUAUAUAUUCAUGUCAUAUCUGAUAUAUGAAGGCAAACAGACACCCCCUGUAUUACAUUACAUUUUGACAUAGGAUUCAAUGACGUAUCAAUUCAAUCUAGGAAUGAAAAGACAGAACCUUCUUAUGGACUUAGG